AUUGUUUGCUGGCGGCAGGCCUAACACAUGCAAGUCGAGCGGUAGAGAGAAGCUUGCUUCUCUUGAGAGCGGCGGACGGGUGAGUAAUGCCUAGGAAUCUGCCUGGUAGUGGGGGAUAACGUCCGGAAACGGACGCUAAUACCGCAUACGUCCUACGGGAGAAAGCAGGGGACCUUCGGGCCUUGCGCUAUCAGAUGAGCCUAGGUCGGAUUAGCUAGUUGGUGGGGUAAUGGCUCACCAAGGCGACGAUCCGUAACUGGUCUGAGAGGAUGAUCAGUCACACUGGAACUGAGACACGGUCCAGACUCCUACGGGAGGCAGCAGUGAGGAAUAUUGGACAAUGGGCGAAAGCCUGAUCCAGCCAUGCCGCGUGUGUGAAGAAGGUCUUCGGAUUGUAAAGCACUUUAAGUUGGGAGGAAGGGCAGUAAAUUAAUACUUUGCUGUUUUGACGUUACCGACAGAAUAAGCACCGGCUAACUCUGUGCCAGCAGCCGCGGUAAUACAGAGGGUGCAAGCGUUAAUCGGAAUUACGGGGCGUAAAGCGCGCGUAGGGGGUUCGUUAAGUUGGAUGUGAAAUCCCGGGGGUCCACCCUGGGAACUGCUUUCAAAACUGAAUGAGCUAAAGUAGGGAAGAGGGGGGGGGGAAUUUCCCUGGGUAGCGUGGAAAGGGUUAGGAAUAGGAAGGAACCCCAGUGGCGAAGGCGCCCACCUGGACUGAUACGGACACUGAGGUGCGAAAGCGUGGGGAGCAAACAGGAUUAGAUACCCGGGGAAGCCCACGCCGUAAACGAUGUCAACUAGCCGUGGGGAGCCUUGAGCUCUUAGUGGCGCAGCUAACGCAUUAAGUUGACCGCCUGGGGAGUACGGCCGCAAGGUUAAAACUCAAAUGAAUUGACGGGGGCCCGCACAAGCGGUGGAGCAUGUGGUUUAAUUCGAAGCAACGCGAAGAACCUUACCAGGCCUUGACAUCCAAUGAACUUUCUAGAGAUAGAUUGGUGCCUUCGGGAACAUUGAGACAGGUGCUGCAUGGCUGUCGUCAGCUCGUGUCGUGAGAUAUUGGGUUAAGUCCCGUAACGAGCGCAACCCUUGUCCUUAGUUACCAGCACGUAAUGGUGGGCACUCUAAGGAGACUGCCGGUGACAAACCGGAGGAAGGUGGGGAUGACGUCAAGUCAUCAUGGCCCUUACGGCCUGGGCUACACACGUGCUACAAUGGUCGGUACAGAGGGUUGCCAAGCCGCGAGGUGGAGCUAAUCCCAGAAAACCGAUCGUAGUCCGGAUCGCAGUCUGCAACUCGACUGCGUGAAGUCGGAAUCGCUAGUAAUCGCGAAUCAGAAUGUCGCGGUGAAUACGUUCCCGGGCCU
rnacentral:rRNA from 1 species